GAUUUUCUAACCUUAUUUUCCAUAUUGCCUCUUAAUGUACACAUGGCCUAUAUCUAAGUGCUUAAACAUUAUUAUUGGUGUUGUAUUAGCAUUAAUGGGCCAUUCCCAUUCAGUUUCUAUAAAUGGGAUCUCAUACUACUUCCUUGCCCUGAAUUCAUUCUCUCUCACACACACACAUACGCACAAACACACACACACCACACACACUAGUGAAAACUGCCGCGUCUUUUGCUGAACCCUGGAGAUUACUUUGUCUUUGAGAGUCCAAAGAAAAAGCCAUCAGCCGUCAAGGAUUUUAAUUAUUUAUUUUUCAUCACACAAGCAAUGCGUGACUACGUUCUGAUUGUAAAAAAUUCACACAAUGCAUCUGAAAUGAAAGUCUCCCCAAGUGAAGAAUCUAAAUAGCUCUGGCCCUCACCCACCAGCCCCCAGGUCUGUGGUGGACCAGCGCUGGGAGAUGCCAGUGGACCUGGUAAAGGUUUGGAGAAACACUGAGCUCUUGUUAUACAGGGAAGGCUGGGGAAGCAGGGAUCACCUGUGAAAUGAAAUGGGAGUAGUUAAUGGAACUUAUCCUUUAUGUUUAGGAGUUGUUGACUUUGCCAAAGAUGUGCUCUUCGAUUUUUGCAGUUUUCUUUUAAGGGAGUGAGGAAGAGGAGGCCUGAGCUCCUGUAACUCUUUCUGUGGGAACUCACUCUUUUUUCUAAUGGGCUGCUUAAGACAGCAAACAUCAGGGGCAGACGCCCAGCAUUCUGCUGUAUUUGGCCAUAGCAAGUGGUAAGAUUUUUGUCAAAUCCAUGUCUUUCUCACCAAUAUUCUAAUAGCGGUUAUUUCCUUUAUGACUCAAUAAGCCCCUGUAUAAAUUUGCUAUGGGGCCAAAUGGAGAUGAAUGAAAAGUUUUAGUAAAGAAGGCAGAAAUGUAUUGAAUAAAAGGAAGAUCCAAAUAGAAAAUCUCUUGGAGACCACUGAUUUAGUUCUUCACUUUUCAGAAGAAGACAUGAAAGUCCAGAGAAGUUUGGCCCAAUGCCCCAAAUCACAUAGGCAGAGUUAGGAGCGGAGAGAAAACCAGAAUUCCGGUUUCAGACUCCCAGCCUGGUAUCCUGCCAUUACACCAGCGUUGGAAUACAGCCACCACUGUUAGCUACCUAGAAAACCUGGGCUGGUCUCACCAAUCCUGGGCCCCAGUUUUAUCAUUACUCUAUCUCUCUUAGGGCAGCAUUGCCAAGAGCAUUCAAUUAAAUUGUGACUGUUAAGUACCAUGCAAAUAACCAAGUAAUUUUCAAGUACAAAAAAAUGAACUUCCUUUCAGUUAUUGGAAAGACAAGCAUUCUUCAUUGGUUAGUUGUGUACAGUAGCAUUUCACAAAGCAUCACCUAACUGAAUCAAAGAUUUUGGGAAUCUGGCCCUGGAAGCUUUGCUGUUUUAUUUUGUUUUGGUCUUCUUAACUUUCUUAAAAAUUGGUGUUAUAUGAUCAUAGGACAUUAUUUUAAAUACAUUUAGGUGUGUUAAUGGUGCCGUGGUUAUAUUGGCAGAUGCUAUUCAUUCUGGGGAAGGCAUGCUGAAGUACUUCUGGGUUGUUUAGCGUUAUUAUUUAGGUGUUAUAUAUUAUGACAUCUGUAAUUUACCUUUUAAUGGUUCAGCAAUUACAAACCCAUGCAUGUGUGGGCACGUACAUACACGGCAAAACAUUAACAUUCUUUGAAUCUAGGUAUACUACAUGUGUGGGUGUCAAAUAUACUAUUGUUCUAUUUUUCCAUAUGUUUGAAACUUUUUAUAAUAAAGUGCCCUGUAAAAUAAAUUCUUCCGGUGAUUUUGAUUCUCCCUAAUGCUUUGAGAACCACUGAUGUAGAGCUAUAGAACUAUGACCAGUGACAAUCUGUGAAUGGUCUCUCCACAUGACUGAUUAUGGCAUGGAAUUGUCUGUGCUCCUGGUUCCAGUUUAAGAGGAAAAUAAAAGAAAAUCUUUUAAAUCUCAUCCUUGAUAUUUCAUCAGAAUUGGAGCCACUUUUCCUGUGUGAUACUGGUAUUUGGUUGAAAGAAAGAGGUUGUUGGAAGAAUGAUUGGAGUCUGGUGUUAGGAAUCCCUUGCUCUUCACAGAGAUCGUCUGCUGCUACCUGGCCGCUUCCAUGAGCUAUAACGUGGGUAAAAACAUCUUCAGUUGGGUGGAAGGUUACCCCUGUCAUUGACUGAUAUGCACAACCUAAUUACUUUCUUAGUUACUUAAAGCUGGCUUAAUUUGUC